rfam:Oesophagostomum dentatum strain OD-Hann O_dentatum-1.0_Cont2604.2, whole genome shotgun sequence.
GUUUUUAACCCAGUGUCAAAAGGUACUAAGGGCGUCUGACCUUCCACGUGGAUGCGUCACAAACCUUAAUUUUUGGAUCGCCUUUCCGGGGUAUCCGGGAGGGCAGC